rnacentral:rRNA from 1 species
CCAGACUCCUACGGGAGGCAGCAGUGGGGAAUAUUGCACAAUGGGGGGAACCCUGAUGCAGCGACGCCGCGUGGGUGAAGGAGCACCUCGGUGCGUAAAGCCCUAUCGGCAGGGAAGAAAAGCGAACAGGUUCGCCUGGACGGUACCUGACUAAGAAGCCCCGGCUAACUACGUGCCAGCAGCCGCGGUAAUACGUAGGGGGCAAGCGUUAUCCGGAUUCACUGGGUGUAAAGGGAGCGUAGACGGCGACGCAAGUCAGAUGUGAAAACUCAGGGCUCAACCCUGAGCCUGCAUUUGAAACUGUGUUUCUUGAGUGCUGGAGAGGCAAUCGGAAUUCCGUGUGUAGCGGUGAAAUGCGUAGAUAUCAGGAGGAACACCGGCGGCGAAGGCGGCCUGCUGGACCGUGACUGACGUUGAGGCUCGAGAGCGUGGGGAGCAAACAGGAUUAGAUACCCCAGUA